CGCUGGCGGUAGGCUUAACACAUGCAAGUCGUGCGAGAAAGUAUCUUCGGAUAUGAUUAGAGCGGCGGACGGGUGAGUAACGCGUAGGAAUCUACCUAGUAGAAGGGGAUAGCCCGAGGAAACUCGGAUUAAUACCGUAUACCUCCUCCGGGAGAAAGAAGGCCUCUCUUUGAAGCUUUCGCUACUAGAUGAGCCUGCGUAAGAUUAGCUUGUUGGUGAGGUAAAGGCUCACCAAGGCUACGAUCUUUAGCGGGUCUGAGAGGACGAUCCGCCACAUUGGGACUGAGACACGGCCCAGACUCCUACGGGAGGCAGCAGUGGGGAAUAUUGGACAAUGGGCGAAAGCCUGAUCCAGCCAUACCGCGUGUGUGAAGAAGGCCUUAGGGUUGUAAAGCACUUUAAGUUGGGAAGAAAGGUUAUUGGCUAAUACCCAAUAACUGUGACAUUACCAUCAGAAUAAGGACCGGCUAAUUCCGUGCCAGCAGCCGCGGUAAUACGGAAGGUCCAAGCGUUAAUCGGAAUUACUGGGCGUAAAGCGCGCGUAGGUGGUUUAUUAAGUUGGAUGUGAAAGCCCCGGGCUCAACCUGGGAACUGCAUCCAAAACUGAUUCACUAGAGUACGAUAGAGGGAGGUAGAAUUCACAGUGUAGCGGUGGAAUGCGUAGAUAUUGUGAAGAAUACCAAUGGCGAAGGCAGCCUCCUGGAUCUGUACUGACACUGAGGUGCGAAAGCGUGGGUAGCGAACAGGAUUAGAUACCCUGGUAGUCCACGCCGUAAACGAUGUCAACUAGCUGUUGGAAAGCAUUGCUUUUCAGUGGCGCAGCUAACGUAGUAAGUUGACCGCCUGGGGAGUACGGCCGC
rnacentral:rRNA from 1 species